rnacentral:tRNA from 1 species
GGCCUCGUAGCUCAACUGAAUAGAGCAUCUGACUACGGAUCAGAAGGUUGGGGGUUUGAAUCCCUCCGAGGUCA